AAAGGAUUUUUUUCUUUGACCUUAAGUUAUUUGGAAGUGUGUGCUAAAAUAUCCACAUGGGUGGGACUUUUUGUUGUUGAUUAUCAUUUCUAAGUUAAUUGCAUUUGCAUCAGUUAACACAGUCUUUGUAACGUACAUUUUUAAAAAUGUUUUGAGACUUGCUUUAUGACCUAAUAUGUAGUAAAUUUAUAUGCUCGAAAUGAAUGUGUAUUCAACACACACACAUUUAUUUAAUAAGCUUGAUAUCUAUACACACAUACAUGCACAUAUACUUUGUUUUGUCUGCCUGAUCUAUCAUUUAUUUCAAAAGAUGUAUUAGGGGCACCUGGGUGGUUCAGUCAGUUAAGCAUCUGACUUUGGUCAGGUCAUGAUUGCGUGGUUUGUGGGUUUGAGCCCCACAUUGGGAUCUACGAUACAGCUCAGAUCCUGGAGCCUGCUUUGGAUUCUGUGUCUCCCACACACUCUCUGCCCCUUCCCUGCUUGUGCUGUCUGUCUCUCAAACACAAAUAAAUAUACUUUUUUUUUGAAGUAAUAACUUAAUUUUUAAAAUGAACAUAGUAUCAGAAUAGAUAUUUCUCCAAUGAAGACAUACAGAUCACCAGUAAGCGCAUGAAAAGAUGUUUGACAUCACUAGUUAUCAGAAAAAUACGUAUCAAAUCCACGAGAUACUAGUUCACACCACUAGGAUGGCUAGAAUCUAACAACCUGUGUCUUUGGGUUGAAUUACCAUUUUUUUCAUUAACUUGCGCCCCUGUUUUUUUUUUUUUAAUUUACAUCCAAAUUAGUUAGCAUCUAGUGCAACAAUGAUUUCAGGAGUAGAUUCCUUAGUGCCCCUUACCCAUUUAGCCCAUCCCCCUCCCACAACCCCUUCAGUAACUUUCAGUUUGUUCUCCAUAUUUGUGAGUCUCUUCUGUUUUGUCCCCCUCCCUGUUUUUAUAUUAUUUUUGUUUCCCUUCCCUUAUGUUCCUCUGUUUUAUCUCUUAAAGUCCGCAUAUGGUGAAGUCAUAUGUUUUUUGUCUUUCUCUGACUAAUUUCACUUAGCAUCAAAGCCUCCAGUUCCAUCCACGUAGUUGCAAAUGGCAAGAUUUCAUUCUUUUUGAUUGCCGAGGAAUACUCCAUUGUAUAUAUAUACCAACCACAUCUUCUUUAUCCAUUCAUCCAUCAGUGGACAUUUGGGCCCUUUCCAUACUUUGGCUGUUGUCGAUAGUGCUGCUAUAAACAUGGGGUGCAUGUGUCCCUUCAAAACAGCACACCUGUAUCCCGUGGAUAAAUGCCUAGUAGUGCAAUUGCUGGGUCGUAGGGUAGUUCUAUUUUUAGUUUUUUGAGGAAUCUCCAUACUGUUUUCCAGAGUGGCUGCACCAGCUUGCAUUCCCAACAAAUAAAUAUACUUUUAAAACAUGUAUUAAAACUCUUACCCUGAUGUGGAUUUAUCAGUUUCUCCUUACAGUUUUGUCAAGUUUAGCUUUAUAUGUUUUAAAGUUUUUUAGUGUGGGAUAUAUAGAUUUAGAAUAUUGUAUUCUAGGAAACAAAUUAUUAUAGCACUUUUUAAAAUGUUUUUUUAAUGUUUAUUCAUUUUUGAGAGAGAGAGAGAGAGACACAGAAACAGAGCAUGAGUUGGAGAGGGACAGAGAGAGAAGGCAACACAGAAUCUGAAGCAGGUUCCAGGCCCUGAGCUGUCAGCACAGAGCCCAAUGUGGGGCUUGAACUCGCAAACCUCGAGAUCAUGUCCUGAGCCGAAGUUGGAUGCUUAACGCACUGAACCACUCAGGCGCCCCCAUGGCACGUUUUCAAAUCACAUGGUGCCUAUCUUUUAUAAUACUUUUUGUUUUAGUGUUUAUUUUAUCCCAUGUUUUUGUUUUGUUUUUGUUUUUAAGUAGGCUCCAUGCCCAAUGUGGGGCUUGAACUCAUGACCCUGAGAUCAAGAGUCAGAUGCUCUACAGACUGAACCAGCCAGGUGCCCCUCUUUUAUCCCAUGUUAAUAUUUGGCAUAAACUUCUUUUCAUUUAGUAUUUAUUUAGCAUAUUAUUUCCAUCAUUUAACUUUCAGCCUAUCUAUGUAUAAUUUCUUUUCUACUUAUACUUAAAAAAAGGUGGGUUUUUUUUUUUUAUGUUUAUUUUUGAGAGAGAGAGCAUGCAGGCACAAUGGGGGAGGGACAGAGAAAGAGGGAGACACAGAAUCUGAAGCAGGCACCAGGCUUUGGGCUGUCGGCACAGAGCCCAAUAAGGGGCUCAAACCCGUGAACCGUGAGAUCAUGACCUGAGCUGAAGUUGGAUGCUCAACCAACUGAGCCACCCAGGAGCCCCCCUCUACUUAUGCUUUUAAUGAUGCCUGGAUUAGAAGUCAUAAGGCCUCCGUUCUAAUCUUGAUUGUAUCCUGGAGUCUUAGGUUCCUCAUCUUUCAAUUGGGUAUCAAAACACUUGCCUUCCCCAUCCCCCUUCAUCGUGUUGUGAGAAUCAAAUGACAUAAGAUGUGAAAUCACUUUGCAAACUGUGAAGUGUUUUGCAAAUUAUUAUCUUUGUAGCCUUUAAUAGUGAGUGUCCCCAAACGCUUACUUAAAGCUGUAGUGGUUAAGAGCUUAGUUGGUUAGUAGAGCUAUAUACUUUUGCAUUUGUAGAUACUAUUUAUAGGAUGGUUGCAAGAUAUAAAUGUAUUAAAAGUACUAAAUUAGGGGCACCUGGCUGGCUCAGUUGGUAGAGCACAUCACUCUUGAUCUCAGAGUUAGGAGUUCAAGCCCUAUGUUGGGCGUAGAGUUUACUUAAAAAAGGUGCUAAAUUAUUUGGGGCAUCCUAGGUAUUCACUAAUACUAACCCGAGAGGCACCUGAGGUGGCCCAGUCAGUUAAAGGUCUGACUCUUAAUGUCAGCUCAGUCUUGAUCUCACAGUCAUGAGUUCAAGCCCCACAUUGGGCUCAUACUCGGCAUGAAGCCUACUAAAAAAAGUUUUUUUAAAAUUUUUUAAAAUUAAAAAAAAAGUAAAUCAAUGUCUUUAUGAUUAUGAUUAUGCUUAUUGUGUUGCCCUUGCUUGUAUCUGAAUUCUAGCUUCUCAACUUACCAGUAUGUGACCAUUAUAACCUAAGUCUUGGCUUCCUCGUCUUUGAAGUUGCAAUCAUAGUAACUACUUCCUGGAGUUGCUCUGAGAAUGGAGUAAAAUAACGAUGAAAAGAGCUCGGCACAGUGCCUGGCUACCAUGAUCUUGAGCUCCAGGAUCUCUUCUGCUCUUAGAAUUCUCAAUGUUGACACUUUUUGACAUUCCAAAGUACCUCUAACCUCUUACCUGAGCCUGAAGCCCUGAUUUAAAAUGCUAGCGGAGGGGCGCCUGGGUGGCUCAGUUGGUUACGUGUCCAACUCUUGAAUUUGGCUCAGGUCAUGAUCUCAUGGUUUGUGAGAUCAAGCCCCUGCAUUGAUCUCUAUUAGCACAGAGCCUGCUUGUGAUUCUCUCUCUCCCUCUCCCCCACUCGCAUGCACAUGCACUCUCUCUCUCUCAAACAAAUAAACAUUAAAAAAAUAAAAUGCUAGCAGAGUAGGACCACUUGGGUAUCUUAUCAUCAGUUUAGACGUUCUGUCCAAAGCUACAUUGUUCUUCCUUUCUCCCCACCGAAUCAUCUCAGUUUCUUGAGCACCUGAGUGAUGGGCUUAACUUAAGCCCCACCCUUAAGGAGCUAACCGUCCAAUAGAAGGUUGACCCUAAAACAUCCACUAGAAGUGCCAUUGUAGAAAUUCAAACAAGGUGCUACAGAAGAGAUGAGCCCUGUGGGGAAGAGGGUGACCAAGGUGGGCUUCCCAGACCGUGGGAAGCCCAUUUCCACAGUUCCACCGAACAUACCAGAACUGUUGUCUGUCAUUCUCCCAACACGACAGACUUUACUGUAACAGGUUAUGUAACAUUGGACAGCUGUUUUCACCUCAGAACCUCCAAGGAGUGGCUCAGGGAUCCAGGCCCCUUCCAUCUUGUGGUGUCAGUGUGUCUGAAAGCCCUCUAUUAAGCAUCUCCUGUCUCAGAGACAUUUUUACAUCAGCCACUCCUGACCUGUUCCUAGCUUGGAAAGGCCUGGGCCAUGGAGCAAAGGGGAGUCACCUCAGUCGUCCCAUGUGUUUCAUCCCUGCUUGAGGAGACCCUCAAAUUUUUCUGCCAUCUUGUUUACUGUAAUAAUCCUUUCAGCCCCAAAAUUAUUUUGGCACCUAGACCAGUGCUUGGCACAUAGUAAGUAUACAAUAAGUAUCUUUUUUAUUGUUUUUUAAAAUAUUUAUUUAUUUUUGAGAGACAGAGAGAGACAUAGCAGGAGCAGGGGAGGGGCAGAGAGAGGGAGACACAGAAUCUGAAACAGGCUCCAGGCUCUGAGCUGUCAGCCCAGAGCCCGAUGUGGGGCUUGAACUCAUGAAUUAUGAGAUCAUGAUCUGAGCCGAAGUCAGAGGCUUAACCGACUGAGCCAUCCAGGUGCCCCUGUGUUUUUUUUUAAGUAGGCUCUACACCCAAUGUGGGGCUCGAACUCAUGACCCUGAUACCGAGAAUCUCAUGCCCUACUGACCGAGCCAACCAGGCACCCCUACAAUAAGUAUUUUUUAAAUGCCUGAACUUCUCUGGGCUCCAGGAGUUGCUUAGAGGUUAUUUGCAAGGCUAAACUAAACUCAAUGGCUGGGUAGGCUGAUACAAGGGGAGCUUUUGAAUAGGACACAGGGGUGGGAGGAUCUCAUUUUUUUUCUUUCUUUCUUUCUUUCUUUCUUUCUUUCUUUUUUUUUUUUUUUAGAGCUUGUUCAUGGGUCACCUUUAAAUGGUACUGAAGGCAAGUAAAAAUCACCUCAGUGCUCCAGGCUUUCCAGCCCUUUUGCUUCCUCCUGGAGAACCAGAAAGGAAAAGCGAAAGGGCUGAGCAGAGGCCCCAGGGGCCUCAUCUUGGAAGGGAAGAUCUCCUUGUGCCCUCUUAGUACUUGGGGAGCAGUCGGCGUGGCUGGGCACAGGUUCUGAUAGGUUCACACUUUAGGUUGUCCAUGUCUGGGUGAGGGAACUUGGACAAGUUACUUAAUCUUUUUGCGCCGGUUUCCUCCUCUGUAACAUAAAGAUAGUGAUACUGAUCUCUUCUGGUUUUUUAGAUUGAUCAAGUUAAUACAAUAAAAAGCAUAGACCAGUGGCACUAUAUAAUUGUGGAUAUCGUCAUCAUUAGGGACAGAA